GAUGAACGCUGGCGGCGUGCCUAAUACAUGCAAGUCGAGCGAACAGACGAGGAGCUUGCUCCUCUGACGUUAGCGGCGGACGGGUGAGUAACACGUGGAUAACCUACCUAUAAGACUGGGAUAACUUCGGGAAACCGGAGCUAAUACCGGAGAAUAUAUUGAACCGCAGGGUUCAAUAGUGAAAGACGGUUUUGCUGUAACUUAUAGAUGGAUCCGCGCCGCAUUAGCUAGUUGGUAAGGUAACGGCUUACCAAGGCGACGAUGCGUAGCCGACCUGAGAGGGUGGUCGGCCACCCUGGAACUUAGCCACCGUCCAGACUCCUACGGGAGGCAGCAGUCGGGAAUCUUCCGCAAUAGUCGAGAGCCUGACGGAGCAACCCCGCGUGAGUUAUGAAGGUCUUCGGAUCGUAAAGCUCUGUUAUUAGGGAAGAACCACUGUGUAAGUAACUAUGCACUUCUUGACGGUACCUAAUCAGAAAGCCCCGGCUAACUACGUG
rnacentral:rRNA from 1 species